rnacentral:rRNA from 2 species
UGCAAGGCGACCGAACUCUGGGAGGGAGUGGUGCUUGCAUCAAGAUUUGCAUUUGAGUGAGUGGCGAACUGGUGAGUAACACGUGGGAAACCUGCCCAGAAGCGGGGGAUAACACCUGGAAACAGAUGCUAAUACCGCAUAACAACUUGGACCGCAUGGUCCGAGUUUGAAAGAUGGCUUCGGCUAUCACUUUUGGAUGGUCCCGCGGCGUAUUAGCUAGAUGGUGGGGUAACGGCUCACCAUGGCAAUGAUACGUAGCCGACCUGAGAGGGUAAUCGGCCACAUUGGGACUGAGACACGGCCCAAACUCCUACGGGAGGCAGCAGUAGGGAAUCUUCCACAAUGGACGAAAGUCUGAUGGAGCAACGCCGCGUGAGUGAAGAAGGGUUUCGGCUCGUAAAACUCUGUUGUUAAAGAAGAACAUAUCUGAGAGUAACUGUUCAGGUAUUGACGGUAUUUAACCAGAAAGCCACGGCUAACUACGUGCCAGCAGCCGCGGUAAUACGUAGGUGGCAAGCGUUGUCCGGAUUUAUUGGGCGUAAAGCGAGCGCAGGCGGUUUUUUAAGUCUGAUGUGAAAGCCUUCGGCUCAACCGAAGAAGUGCAUCGGAAACUGGGAAACUUGAGUGCAGAAGAGGACAGUGGAACUCCAUGUGUAGCGGUGAAAUGCGUAGAUAUAUGGAAGAACACCAGUGGCGAAGGCGGCUGUCUGGUCUGUAACUGACGCUGAGGCUCGAAAGUAUGGGUAGCAAACAGGAUUAGAUACCCUGGUAGUCCAUACCGUAAACGAUGAAUGCUAAGUGUUGGAGGGUUUCCGCCCUUCAGUGCUGCAGCUAACGCAUUAAGCAUUCCGCCUGGGGAGUACGGCCGCAAGGCUGAAACUCAAAGGAAUUGACGGGGCCCGCACAAGCGGUGGAGCAUGUGGUUUAAUUCGAAGCUACGCGAAGAACCUUACCAGGUCUUGACAUACUAUGCAAAUCUAGAGAUUA